rnacentral:rRNA from 1 species
ACCCCAGGUCAGGCGGGACUACCCGCUGAGUUUAAGCAUAUAAAUAAGCGGAGGAGAAGAAACUUACAAGGAUUCCCCUAGUAACGGCGAGCGAACCGGGAAUAGCCCAGCUUGAAAAUCGGGUAACUUUGUUGCCCGAAUUGUAGUCUGGAGAAGCGUCA